GGUUUAGAUACAAAACAAGUAUGGUUAAAAGUUUACAAAAAGGUCGGCUCUCAAAAAGGAAUACUAGUCGGACACCUAUGCCGAACCUUCAAACUCCACUUCCACAGACUUCGAGCUUCGGGUCCUCCGCCAACAUCGUCUAAAGACCUGAAAAGAUAAGCCCACGACGGGGUGAGACAAUGUCUCAGCAAGUUCACCCCCUAAACCUCUAUUAGGAAGAAAAUAAACCUAAUGGUGGUUUAGCCAUACAAUACAGAGAACUUACCUCGCCUCUGUUCCCUCCUGCACGUCAACAUAGUUUAUAUCACUCGAUCAUAUGCAGUGAUACAACUCAAACAACUAGAAUGCAAACACUUUCAUCUCAAACAACCAUAAGAGUCCAGAUUAUAAGACCAAACCGUUAUAACACGUCUCAUACCAUGUCACACAGUUUUGUCUCAUAAUCCGGCACAUCUAACUCAAUCAAUCAUGCGAUCCAAUUAUUAAUUUCGCCCCUCAAGGGUACGGCCUACUCUUGAGUUCGGCGAUCUACUGGCAUAGCCAGGCAUCAUCUCACCACCAUUGAGCACGGCUUCGUCUCUCAAAGAUUGCUUUCCCGAAGGAGCAUAGGUCCAGAAUCUACUGCGACUUGAAUCCCAUUAAGUGGGUAACGUCCGGCGUAAACGUGUGGGACGGGUUCUUUUAACCAACACACGACCAUUCAAAGUCGGCCUAGGACACCACGCAUUACACUCAAAUGCCUCAAUUAAAAUAGCGAUUCUGGUCUAUUUUCUUCAUAUUAAAAAUACCCGGUGAAAAUAGUAGUGUGUGGGUACACGGUCAGAUCGGACCAGAAAAUUGAUAUCCUCCGAUUUAAAAUCAUACUAUUUUAUAUAGUAUAUAAAACUAUUUUUGGUGUUAAAAUCCGACACCCGGAAUUUUCUGAAUAAAUAUUGAAAUUUCCCAAUUUUUGGAAUAAACUACCAAAAAUUCAAUCAGCACUCAAUUUGCACAAAUUAACAUCUAAUUGCAUAAAUUGAAGACACCUUUGCAAUCAGCACGAAAUUCCGAUCACCGACUAUCCCGGUCUAAUUUCCGGAAAAUAAUUAAAUAAUUAAAUAAUUAUCAAAAUUAAUUAAAUAAAUCAAUUUAAAUGCCAAAAAUACUAACCUAGGCAGGAAAAAGCCUAAUUAAAUAUCGAGACGGGCUCGGAAAAUUUCUGAACCAAUCUAGAUAAUUAAUACAACUUGUCUAGUCUCUAAUUAAUCUAAUCUAACCACCUAACAUGCAAAAUUGGAUAAUUAAAUCACUAAUCUAUUCUAACUAAACACCUAAAUCUUAAUUAACUUAAACUAAUUACCCCAUAAACAUAAUUAACCUCCUAAGCGAUGUUUAGUGAGUUAACUCACCGGAUUUGUGAGCCGGUGAGUUCACGGCGACGGCGAGCGAUAAAUUCCAAAGAGGCGAUGCCAACGGGGCACGGACUGGGCCGAAAAAUGGCCCGAGGAAGCCCACGGUUGCUGCUUGGUUAGGCUGAACUUGCGGCCGGAUUUGCGCGGCUGCUGGGCUUGCUUCGCUGACUUCGUGCGGCUGAAAUGAAGACACGAAGAAGGGAAGCGGGCUGGAUUCGUGAGGGUGUGGGCUGCAGGCAGCGUCUUCGUGGCGGCAGCUAAAGUCAAUUGGGCUUUGUUGGACGCUGAAGUUUGACUGGAGGGGGAUGGCUCACGAACAUGUGGCCACGGAUGAAGGGAAGAAGAAGCAGUUUCGGUGGAAUGGGGAUGAUGGGGAUGAUGGGGGCUACGGACGAUGAUGCAGCAACAACGAAAGGAAAUGAUGGGGGACAAUAGCUGGUGGAGGAUCGGACGUGGGGUGACGAUGGUGGAGCAGCAAGAAGAGGAAAUGAAAGCGAAAACCGAAGCAAGUCGGUCCAAGGGAAGAAAUGAAAGCAGAACCUGCGGAGGGGAGGGGUCGACCGUGGAGCAUACGCGGGAAGAAGGAGGGAGGGGGAUCCGGUUGAGGUGUGCUGAAGACGCUAAGG
rnacentral:lncRNA from 1 species